GCCUAGGCUAUUCUUCCCCUCGGCUUAACAAAGCCCAGGUCCUUACACCUUUUGUCUCGGCUUCAGCCGAAUCAUUAAGCUUAUCACCAGAUGCUAGAUUUCACCUAUAAAAACCCUUAGAUUUGUCCACCCAGUGUGCUACUUUUAGAAUACAGCUUGGCUCCACACUAGAUUGGGCUCUGAUUUUAGCUUUUUCGGCCAUCUUCCCCCAUGUUCCGGCAGCCGUGUCUCUUCCAACAUCUACAGCUACAUUGGAUUCCCGGAGAAGCCUUCGGAAACAGUGCUGGGCCUAACAGGCUGUGGUAGAAAGAAAAUGGUAGCCAUGCCUUCAGGACAGUUGCUACAAGACCCCUUUCCCUUUAGGGAAAAAGAAAGAAACUCUCUUCCUUUCCACUAUGAUUUGGCAAUGCUCCAUGAGGCAGUGAGGAAGGAAACGUCUCAUCAUUUCGGUGGGAAGAGGAGAAGACUAAACCUUCCAGCGACCCAAUGUUUUGCAUGCAUUUCCAUUUCUUGGCUCAUUUGCAGUGGCGGUUGGCUCGGCAUGCCAUCCAAUCAGAAUCUCCACAGGUAACCUACGUCUCAAGAUGGAGCCAGUCAUGCUAAGCUGGGCAUAGCCAACAACCCUACUGCCUUUGCCUGCUUGUUUGCCUGCUCAUUGAAAGAAGUGAAGCAAGGUGUCAUGGACUGCCCUGGGCCUGACAGAGGCACAGUCAGAGGAUUCAGACUCUGAAGACAUGGAGGAGGCUGAGACAGGGGCUGAUCUGGGGCUACCUGGAUCAGGAGUCUCAGAGGAGGCUCAGGAAGCUGCAGAGGGAGAAACAGACUCUGUGGACUCUAGGCUGCAGGUGCUAGGACCUGUUGAGCGAAAGCAGGUCAAGGAGUCUUUGAGGUGUUCUUCCAGGCUAGAAGCCAAGAGGAGAGCUAAUCGGCUUCAGCUAAAAGAAGCAGAGGCCUUUGAAAAGACCUCAAGCUGCAGAAGUUCUUUGCAGCCGACAACCAGUCUUGCAGCCUUGUUCCUGCGUUCCUUGCUCUUUGAUUCAUGGCUCUUGUUAUCUGACCCCUGGACUUGCCUUGUGACUAUGCUCUUGCCUCCGCCCUUUGCUGUGACUAACUGACUGGUAUUGUGUGACCUUCAGACCAGACUCUGAACAAUUCCUUGUGUAUUCUCCUCCUGUGCUGCUCUCAGUAGAGAAACCAUCCUUCAUCAAUAGAUCCUACAGGAUUCAAAGCCACAUUAAUAUAACAGAUACUCAACAAAAAUAUUGCAUUUGUUAGAAUAUUAUGAUGGUUUAUACACUAGCCUAUCAUCCAUAGGCCUGUGCGAUCUCCCAUCCAAGUUGAUGCCCAAGAUUAAAAAAAUCAACUCUGUUUAUGGAUUGAAAUAAAUUUAUUAUAGCUAACCAGUGGAAGCCCUGAAGGGCAGGUGCCAAACAAAGCACAAAGCAGAAGAAAUGUCUUCAAGGUAUGUACUUCUAGGAUUCUUCCACACUAAAUGUAUUUCUUCUGAUGGGUGCCGCCUGGCAUCUCCAAAACGAUCUCUUUAUGUCCAUGUAGAACAACCAUGUGAAUGAGUCUGGCUUGCCCUAUGUUUGACUGCAGAAAGGUCUUUAUUCUAUGAAGGCAUGUUCCUUUCUGAGGAACAUGAUGAAAUCAAUAUUGUAAGGGUGAAUUUGAUCAGCUUUGUCAAUUCUGGUAGUAGAACCCGCAGACAUGUGCCUUGUGUCACUCAGAAGAUCAACCACAUCCUGAAGAGCUGAAACUUUUAUAAUAAUAAUAAUAAUAAUAAUGCAUUUUAUUUAUAGCCUGCUUCUCCUUGCUGAUCGAGACAGGUUACAACAAACAAAAUAACAUCCUUCAACUUUCUUCUCCCUUGCAAUAUCCAACAGCACAUCACGAUAAAACUAUCAUCUAGAAGAAUCCAUGUUCGUCGUAUAAAAGUCUGCAGUGGAUGUGCUACCAAUCUCUCCAGUGACAAACUUUUCAGUUUUGCUCAUAUGGUUUCAAUGCAUCUGAGGCAAAGCAAUUGUAUAAACUGCUGCUGACAUUAACAAUCUCAUCAUAAAAUAUUUUUCCUGCUGAAUCCCUCAGGAGGCUCAAACUGGUGGGGCUCGCAACUAGGACCAACGUGUCAUGGAGGUUUUCUGUGCCUAAGGAGGGUAGGGUUUCCUAAAUCUAAGUCAUUAUGGUCUUUGUCCAGAACUCCCCAAAGUUGUUCCUCAGCUGCUUUAUACUCUCCUUGGCAGACACCAAAAGACAUUCUCCUUGCUGGGACUGUCAGUUACUUGCUUGAAGCAAUGUAUUUGGUGUGUCCAAAUGGCCAAACGCAAGCAUCAAGAGCUACAGCAUGAAGAAAGAAGCACAUCUCUGCAAGCUUUGCACAUAUCCGUCAGCUUUCCAACCAGCAUUUUCCCUUUCCUCACAUGCCACAUCCUCAAAGAAAUCAAUGCGCUCUCUGUAAUUAAGAGCAACUGAUUGCAACUGACAGUCUAUCUUGUAUGUUCUCCUCUCCACCUUGUAUUUUUAGAAAACCUGGCAAGACAUUUGGGU